AACGAACGCUGGCGGCAUGCCUAACACAUGCAAGUCGAACGAGACCUUCGGGUCUAGUGGCGCACGGGUGCGUAACGCGUUGGAACCUGCCCUUAGGUUCGGAAUAACUCCCCGAAAGGGGUGCUAAUACCGGAUAAUGUCUUCGGACCAAAGAUUUAUCGCCUUUGGAUGGGCCCGCGUUGGAUUAGCUAGUUGGUAGGGUAAAAGCCUACCAAGGCGACGAUCCAUAGCUGGUCUGAGAGGAUGAUCAGCCACACUGGGACUGAGACACGGCCCAGACUCCUACGGGAGGCAGCAGUGGGGAAUAUUGGACAAUGGGCGAAAGCCUGAACCAGCAAUGCCGCGUGAGUGAUGAAGGCCUUAGGGUUGUAAAGCUAUUUUACCCGGGAUGAUAAUGACAGUACCGGGAGAAUAAGCUCCGGCUAACUCCGUA
rnacentral:rRNA from 1 species